GAGAAACGUAGACAUAUUUUUUUAUAUAAGAAAUGACGAGAAUGUGAUGUGUUACUUCGCUCUAUUUACAUAUAUGAAUUUUCAGUUACAUGCAUCCUUCAUUGGGUUGCAACAAAUGAUGUUUACUAUAGGAAAUCAAAAUAAUUCAUAUUAUGUAUAAUUUUCCUUUUCAGAACACAAAUACAGAUAUGUAGAGAAAUUGAAAAGAAAUGCAUAAAUGUUUAAAGGUAAGUUUUCAAGAGGUAUUUGUAUAACAUUAUUACUUAUAUUAUACAUCAAACGAAUCAAUAGUAGAUAAUGCUGAAAUGAAAAUUGCAAUGGUUGUUGUAAACAUAUGGUUUUUUUUAAGUCGAAAAAGCAGUAACGAAUACUUAGAUUUGUAAGGUUUAGUACAGCAACGAAACAAGUUGCAACAAAAAGGGACAAGGAGGCGAUAACUUUUAAGCUGAACUUGAUCGGUAACUACAAGAUUGAAUCAUAUUUUGAAUAUGAGCUUCAAUCUAUGCAUCACAAUCACAAUCUCUGAUAUAUUUGUCUGACAUAAAUCUACUAUAGUGUAUCCCUCUGCAGGGACUUUCUAUACUUAGUAUAGAAAGUCCCUGCCCUCUGUUUUUUUUUAUGGAACAAUAAGGCAUUAUACCAAAGUAACUGUUAAAAUGUAAACUUCACUUUGGUCAUGUAAACAUUUGAAUUAUACAAGGGAAAAUUUGUGUGUCUACCGUAUAAUGUCUCUACUUGAAGACCUGUCCAAUAUAUUUAACUUCAUCGAAAAGUAGCCAACUGGCUCUUAAAUAACCAGUUUGGAAAUAUUGUUGUCCCCAAAAAGAACAAACGAUGCACCCGAUAUGUCUGCACAAUAUGCACACCUUGGUAAUAACACUAUUGUUCGAUUAAGAAGCAGCUUUGACUUCAGUUCUACUCUUUACUUUAUAAUCCUGGUACCUUUGAUUUAAAGAAAACACCAUUCUAAAUCUGAAAAAAAAAACGACAAUUUUAAUUCUCUCUAAAUCAUCAAAAUGGAGAAACUCGAACAAUCUUUCGAACUACCUGAUUAAAUGUCUGGUCAUUAUUUGCACCUUCACCUUAAGAUUACAAAGUAGCCUUUCCUGACCAUCAAGUUGGACUCCUUCGAUACGUUUAAUUAUUUAGUCUUGUCUUAGUAAAAAAAGAUGAUUUCAGUCAAUGCUACAUCAUCCCUAUACAUAUCAAUACUGGAAUUAUUCAGUGUAAUUAAGUACUAGGAAUUCAUUGAUUUUGGAACACUUUUUUGAUAGUAAAAGAAUACAAAUUCCAAAAGAGGGACGAAAGAUACCACGGGGACAGUCAAACUCAUAAAUCGAAAAUAAACUGAAAAAUGAAAAAGACAAACAGACAAACAAUAGUACACAAGACACAACAUAGAAAACUAAAGGAUAAACAACCCUUAUCGCAUCAAACACUAGGGGUGAUCUCAGGUGCUCCGGAAGGGUAAGCAGAUCCUGCUCCACAUAUGGCACCCGUCGUGUUGCUAUGUAAUAACAAAUCCUAACCUUCCUUAACGCGCAUCUGGCGUAUAUACUAAAUUUAGUCCUGGUAUCUAUGAUGAGUUUAUUUACAAACUAUAUAUUCAAAAAAGGCAUUCAGUACAUUGUUUGUGGCAUUCGUAUGAUUGUUCUUUUCUGUUCUGAUUUGAACAUUCAUCUUUAAACAUGAUCCCAGGACAGGUGUAUCGAUAGUUUUUUAUACCAUUGUUUCAAUAUUAACAACAUAUUGGUUUAUGAUCACUGAAAUCUGCAAAAAGAAAAGGUUUGGUAAGACCAUUAUGUGUCCCUUUAUAACGAUUACAUACAGUUAUGUAAAUCAUUUAAACAAAUGAAAUGUUCAGAUGAUAACAGUAGUGAUACACUAUAAUAAUUUUUCCUUCAUAUUUUUGCUUUAGGUUUUCAAUAUUUUUACAUUCAAUGAAACUAUUGAAAUUCAAUAAAUGUUUUAUUUUCAUGUCUUUCAAGCUUUUUGAAUUCAAGGAAAUUGUUAAAAUGCCAAAAACUAUUUUAAGUCUUAUAGUGAAAAUUUCAAAAUGUAGAAUAGGUUUCCCAAAGAUAUAUUGGUCUACAAGAAUACUCGAGAAUAUAUGAUGCUGAUGGGAAGCAAGAUAAUUUUUUCCAGUGAGCUUUUACCUUACUAUAGGGAAAAAUAAAAUUUGGAAAUUGAUUUCUUUUUAAAUUGUUCAAAAAUUUGUGAAGACACACACUAGUUGCUUUUCACCUAUAAUCAAUGAAGGCUUUAUUAAUUCAGAUUGAUAAACAUAUUCAAGAAAUAUUGACUAUCUUUGUUAGGGGUCACGUACUUGUUUAGGAAGAUUAAAAAGUCUGAAAUAAUUACAGAGCAACAGAAAAACCAUUAAUGAUUUAUAAAUUAAAGGUUUGAAAAAAAUCUUGUUUUUUUCCAUAAAAUAUUGUAAUGGAAUUCAUUGUUACUUAUAUUGAUCUCUCCCCGGGAUAACAAUGGUAACAUUUCUUCCAACCGGAAGUAACUAACUUAAUAUGUCCGUUGCCUGAUUGGUUUACGUAGUAAUCUCACGUGUAGUUUUAUAUUUAUGGAAUUUAUUCCGGAAAUAGUUCUUGAUUCAUAAGAUAGAGAUUUUCCAGAAUAAAUUAAGAAAUUAUGAAAGCUGCUAGUUCGAUUUUUUUUUCCUUUUCAUAUCAUUGUUUCAAUUAUUAAUAGGAACCCGUCACAUACUUCGACUCCUGGUAUUUAAAAGCAAGAAGAUUCUUAAUCAAAAACUAUAUCUUAUUCGACAACAAGAUGUACCAAAAGGAAGAAUGAUUCACUUAUCAAAUUAACUUUCAGAGUCAAAUUCCAGUAUUUCAACGCUGAUUUCCAAUAUACUCAUGGAUGUCAUUCGGUUUAACGCGAGAAAUGAUCGUGAAGAAUAUCUAACGACGGUCAAGUAUUGGGUGACGAUCGUGAAAGCUCUGGUACCAGAUCAUGAAAGACAUUUAAUGUUAAUGCUAGUUCAGAAUCUGUGAAAAAAUCGCUUAAUUUUCAAAACGCGGAACAAAUCCGAACAAAAAAUGUGUCUGUCAAAAUGAUCCAACUUUCUCAAAAUUACUGUGCAAUAAGAUAAAGAAAAUAUGCAGUACUUUAUGAAAAAACACAAAAGGCGCAAUGCAUGUCUACGGAAUUAAUUAAAAAGAACACGCAAAUUGUACCUAUAAUGAUCAUAUUUCAUAAUAUCAUGAUAUAUUUGGAAUUUAAUCUUUGAUGUAUCUGGUAGUACAGUAAAAUAAAAGUAUACUCUUCCCUUUAAAGCGUUUAUUUGUUUAUGAAAACCUUGAAUUUAGUUGAAUUUUCAUCAAACUUGAUCGUGAAAGAUCAUGCAACCCAUUAUUGUGAUUGUGAAAGAUAAUGCGUGACGAGACUUAAUACUAGUAAUUAGAAAUCAAUAUUUCUUUAACCGUUUGAUAUACCAGCAACUGGUUGAAUCCUGUAACUAUUUUGAUAAGGAUGAACAUUAAAGCUAUUUUUUUCAAUUCAACACUUUACUCGAAAGGUAAAAAACAACUUAAAACGUGUCAAAUCAAUGUGAAAAAUUCAGCUCUGAGAAUUGGUCUAGUAAAAUUCAGGAAGUCAACCACUAUUUAGCCAAUAUUAUGGGUAUGCAACUUUCAAACCAAAAUGUUAACCAUCAACCAAAAACCUAUAGCAAAACAGCAUCUUUCAUGAACUAUUCGAUAUUGAACGAUAACCAACAUUUUGUGCAACAGUACCUUAUUAAUUUCUAUGUAUCUUCAUAUACAACGUACAGUGUAGCAGAUGUGGAAUGAUUCCCAAUGAGAUAACUAUAUACUACAGACUUAAGAAUACUACAUCGUAAAUGCCGAAAUGUUUCGUCUGCUUUAUUCAUAAUAUUAUAUCUGUAAUAUUAAGGAUUUUUCUAGAAGUGUCAAAUACACUUAAUAUUGUCAUUGGUUCAUAAAAAGAGGGCAAAGUCAGAUUUACCAUGCCAUACAGAUCUCUACAAACAUCCUGUACACCAAAUAUAGGUGUUCCGAACUGACAAACGUAAAAGUUAUGUUUGGUCAAUUUAUCUGGAACAUAAGGUGGAAAAUAUAUGAACCCUGACGUCGCGACUUCUAUAAAAAAGAAUUUUGCAAUUGUACAGGAACUGCUUGGUUUCUUUAAACGGAUAUCGCAUUGAUAUUGUUGAGGGUGUACUCCAUAACCUCAAAAUGUCCGAAAACAAUAAUAUGCAAUUAUUUGAAAAGUCAAACUUCUUAUUUGCUAUAAGAUUGAACAACAUCAAAAGAUACCAUAGGAAUUCAAACCUUGCUAUUUCUUUAAUUGCAAUUGGCAAUAACUUCACAAUUUUAUUCAUUUCCACAUCAUCUUCACAAUAUUCUUGUGUUGUUUCUGCUGUUUAUUUGGCUCAUCUACACUGGAUUGCUUUUUUCGGCGUUUUGUUGACCAUUGUCUUUUCUUAUUGCCGAGGUUGUUAUUUCUUUUUAAUAUGAAAAUGCUUAAAUUAUUUGAGGAUCUUUGAUAAUCUAAUUUUUCUCAAGAUUAAUAACAAAUAUUAAUUAUCGUAUAAUUGAAGAAUAAUUUUAACGUCUUCGUAGCAUCAGAUCUUUCACGAUUCUUUUCACGAUCUUCAAAAAGCGGUACGUGAUCUUUCACGAAUCGAAAAAACAAUUUUGUGUAAAUAUUUCUCUUUUUACCAAGUUUAAGAUUAUGUUUAUACAAAAUAACUAUGAGAACCAUUUGAUUGAUUCAAAUAGAAUGCCCUUAUUCGGAUAAAGGUGGUUUAUUUUAUUCGAAUUUGUAAAAACUAAUGUUUGUUUACAUUUUUAUGUCAUUGAAAUGUCGAGAAGCAAUCUACCUUUUGUUGUUUUUUAAAAACUAUGUACUUUUAAAACUGGAUUUUCUCACAUACUGAUCAUAAUGUUGAACUAUUUUGACAGACAGUUUUAUUUUGUUAUAAAUUUGUCCGUGUUAUUAAAUAAAUAAGAUUAUUUACUGAUCUUUCAUAUGUAUUCUCGAUUAAAUGUCUUUCACGAUUCGGUAUCAGAGCUUUUACGAUCGUCUCGCAAUACUUGACCACCAUUAGAUAUUCCUUCAUGAUCAUUUCUCUUGUUAAACCGAAUGACACCCGUGAUACUAGUACUAUAGUAAUUAAUCUAUUGAUCAUUUUCAAUAGGUUUAUAUGUUGUUUUUCUUGAAGCUGUACUGCUCCGGUUUUAAAAAGUGUCAGACCUUUACCAAAGAUUGCAAGAAAACCUCAUGGGAUUUCGUUCAGCCAAUAAUAAAACACGUUUUUUGUGUGUGGAAUAAAAGUCUUCUAAAGCAUGCACUAUCGAUGAUAUACUAGUACAUUAAUGUCUCAACCAGAAAUGUGUCUUUAUUAAAGAUUAUAACAUUCUCCUUGUUGACCUAUCUAAUCACUCUCUAAUUACAACAUUCCUAAUUUUAAAUCUUCUUGAUACAAACUAUGAUAGAACUCUAUGGUACACGUGAUUAUGUAUCAAAAGGCUAACUGUACAACAAUAAAUUACCUGCUUAAGAUUCAGUAUUGUUCGGUUUUGAUCACCUUCUGUUGUUGGGUUUAUACCUCAUUGAGUUGGUAUCAUGAACAAAGGCAAUAGUAUUAUACCGGUGUUCCAAAGUCAUAAACCGAUUGUUAGAAAACAAAUCCCGCUUACAGACUAAAACCGAGGGAAACACAUCAACUAUAAAAGGAAAACAAAGGAACAACAGUAGCACUGAAUAAAACAUAAAAUCACAAAAUUACUGAACUCCGAUGAAAAUCAAAAAAAGAAAGUCCCUAAUCAAUUGACAAAAUACAGGCAUUUUCUUAUGUGGAUUGACCAUGGUUUUAAACUAGCUCAACCUCUCACUUGUAUGAAAGUCACAUCAAAUACCAUUAUAUUGAAAACGAAGUGCAACAAAAACAAACGCCAACAGUGUUAGAAACGGACUACCAUAUUCCUAACUUGGUACAGGGAAACUUUAAGAAAAAUGGUAUCAUGUCUUUUUUCUGCAAAACUCGAAAUGUUAUGCUUUUGAUUCCUAUUUUUUAAGACAAAUUUACUAUCAUAACAACCCCUUCCGUUUAAAAAGUUUUGAAUUAUCGUGCAUAUAAGGUUAUCGUUUAAUAUUUUCAAUUGUCUUAGACUUUGUUAACAACAGUUUCUGUUUAUCAUGUAUCUAUGUAAUUAUUGAUAUUGUAUUUACUUAUCCUUACCCUAAUCAGUGUUGAAUUCCAAACAGGAUCCAUUAGAAUCUUUGAGAAAAUAAACCUUUGCAUAUCUAAUACAAACUUAUAGCUUUUCGUUUUUGCAGAGAUGAUUGUCCAAAAAAAAGGGGACGUAAGGGAACGUUAAGUAUCAGACAACAAGUUAUAUAGAGGCAGAAGCCUACCUUAAAAUGAAACACUUUAUCGGCAGAAGUAGUGAUGUGUUUAAUAUACAUACUUCAAAAGGAAGAGGCCGAUUUCUGUUGAGCCGCAACUCUUCUGAAACCAUACAAAGUCGGAAAAAUUGUUAUAUGACGUAAAAGAGUUGUAAAGUAGUAAUGUAGACGGUAUUGAAUCCUUUCUUUUAGGAAACACGUCAAUUAGAUGAUGAUCAAGAUGACUGAAAAAAAUGCCAGAUAUAGAUAAUUCUGAAGAAAAAAACCCAAUUCUAGUCGGAAAAAAUGAAAACAGGCAUGGAAGAUAUAGAAACAAGAAAUAACUAUCAACACAACAGACCAAUACUCAAAACAGCG
rnacentral:lncRNA from 1 species